GGGCCUGUAGCACAGUUGGUAAUGCGCUGCAUUCGCAUUGCAGAGAUCAGCGGUUCGAAUCCGCUCAGGUCCA
rnacentral:tRNA from 3 species